rnacentral:tRNA from 1 species
GCGGAUGUGGCGGAAUCUGGCAGACGCGCUAGGUUGAGGGCCUAGUGGACUUAAUCGUCCAUGGGGGUUCGAGUCCCCCCAUCCGCACCA